rnacentral:rRNA from 1 species
GACGAACGCUGGCGGCGUGCUUAACACAUGCAAGUCGAACGGACAGGCCCGGCUUUUGCUGGGUGCUCGAUUGGCGAACGGGUGAGAGACACGCGAGUAACCCGCCCUUGACAGUGGGAUAACUUCAGGAAACUGGGGCUAAUAUCGGAUAGAAGAUCCUGCUCCGUGGGGGGGGUUGGAGAGUUUCGGCGUUUGGGGAUGGACUCGCGGCUUAUCAGCUUGUUGGUGGGGUAGGGGCUUUCCACGGCUUUGACGGGUAGCCGGCCUGAGAGGGUGACCGGCCACAUUGGGACUGAGAUACGGCCCAGACUCCUACGGGAGGCAGCAGUGGGGAAUAUUGCACAAUGGGCGGAAGCCUGAUGCAGCAACGCCGCGUGCGGGAUGACGGCCUUCGGGUUGUAAACCGCUUUCGCCUGUGACGAAGCGUGAGUGACGGUAAUGGGUAAAGAAGCACCGGCUAACUACGUG